AUUCUGAGCUCUUAAGCAUGCCAGGAGCAGAUGCCUGAUUUUACUGUGUGGCACUUUGUGGCCCAGAAACUUUCCAGAUUCUGUAUUUUCCUAUCUGGUUAAAUGUAACUGUAUUUACCUGUGUUUCAAAGCCUGAAUGCUUUAUUUAUUCUCUACUUAAUUUUCUUUUCCAGUUUUUCCUAACAAGCUUCCCUAGAUUUACUUGUUCUCACUUCCUAGACGCUAUUUGUAUUCUUCCUUCUUCUCUAGUUCAUUGGAAAUUUCUGCUUCUUUGAGACUGAGGUUAUAUUCCACUUCUUCUGACUACACCACCACCAUCAAUCUCCUUCUCUGAACUCUUGGAUCAUUACUUCAACCUGAAACAACUCAUCAGGCAGAAUAGUUGCCUACUGCCCCAACCCCACCAAAUGUUCCAGCACCUCUGAUAUUACCUCACAUGGCAAGAGGGCUUUGAAGAUGUGAUUGAGUCAAGGAUCUUGAAUGGGGAGAUUAUCCUGAAUUAUUCAGCUGGACCCAGUGUAAUCACAAAGGUUUUUCAAAGAUGGAAGAGAGGCAGAAGAGCCAGAAAAGGAUAUGUGACAAUGGAGUCAGUGUCAGAGUUGGAGUGACGUGAUGUGAGAAGGAUUCAACCUGCUGUUUCUGGCUUUGAGGAUGAAAGAAGGGGCCAUGAGCCAAGCAAUACAGGUGGCUUCUUUCAAGAAGUUGGAAAAGGAAACAUUGCAGCGUUAUAAGAGAAAUUAUAGACUAUUUGUUGAAGCUCAGCAUGUCCAUCUCCCUGCUUUGAAGAAGGAUGUUGGGAACUGACUGUAAGGAAGACAGGAUUGGAGAACCAGGUUUAGAAGAGAAAAGGCAGUGCCAGAAGUUUUUGAUUGGAGAAAACUACAGGGUAAUGUUGCACAAGAACCAUUGCUGGACUGCAUCAUUGCUUACCCAACAUGACUCAGCCUCGGUAUUGCCACUGACUCACGGAGCUCCUAAUAGAGGAGAAUUAGUGUCACAGAUCGACUGGAAAACCAAUCCACAUGAAGCCAGGAAGAGAAAUGAAGCUGCUGUUGCUGAAUCCAUAGCUGGCCUUAAUGAUGCUGGCUAGGAAAGACGGCCCAUUCUGGGGGAGAUAAGUCAAUUUUGCAGUGUCUGUUAUUAUCAUAGUGACUAUUGUCUUCCUGUUUUAUAUUUAUUUACCUAAAUUGUUUUGGAAAGACUCAGAGGUAUAGAGACAUGCCUACUUUUUGCAAAAAUCAUCACACUGUCAUGGAGGUAGUCCAGGCUAUGGGGCUCUUAUUUGUUGGUGUCUUGGGCAAGUUGCUUGACCUCUGAUCAUUGUUUGCUUAUUCUUAUAUGGCCCCUGUAUUUCAGACUCACUCUGUGUCAGGCAUUUGUUUACCUUUGUAGCAAGCUCAGGAGGAAAAUACCAUUGCCCUUGUUUUACAGGUGAUGAAACUGUACGUUUUCCAAGGACACAGUGCUAGUAAGUAAUGAAUGUGAAAUUUUAACUGUUUCAAUCUCUUCUCAGAGCCAGUGCUAACUACUCUCCUAAACUUCCUCUCAUCUGUAAAAUAUGGAUGAUAAUAACACCUCUUACAGAGUUGUUGUACAUAUUAAAUAAUAGAACUGUGAAAUGUGUAGUACUUCAUUACG
rnacentral:lncRNA from 1 species